rnacentral:piRNA from 1 species
UCCUGAGCUUGUAACCUGCACAGGAGC